UUAAGGAGGGAACACUACAGAAAUCUUUGUCUACAUCCAUGAGAUUGUCCCCAGGCAGUGCAGCUUCAGACAAGCGUACCCCUCAGACACACAGACGGGCUAUGACUACCGUAGGCACAAAACCUUGCCUUGUCAAACAAACAGCAAUACGGCUGCCAUCUACUGAUUCUCCUGAAAGGAGUCCCAAACAUUCUGCUCCAGUUCACAUCUGUCCAUGGGAGUCAGAGGAGGUGGUCUUGGAGGUCAGGAAGCAGAAUUUGAACGACAGUGUAUUACAAAGACAAUAUAGUGACAAGCAAGUACUAUCUGCGACAGUAGGUAAUGAUGUCUUCAAACCCACUGAGUUCCAACUAAAAUCAUUAUUGGUUGUUCCUAAUACAGAAGUGUGUCCAUGGGAUGUCCCAAAACCUUUUCAUCAAACCAGCGUUUCUGAAGUCUGUCCUUGGGAGGUUGUGGAAGUAGAGCAAUUGCAAACCAAGAGCAUACAUACCGAUGUCUGUCCUUGGGAAACAGAUGGUGAGCCAUCAAGAGUCACUGAAGACAAUAUAUAUAAUACCAAUGUUGAAGUCCCUAUGUCUGAAGACACCCAGAAGCAGGCAAAUGUGAAGCCUCAAGCAUGCUCUUCUUCUGUACAAGACACAAAUAUAUUUUUGGUUAGACAGGGAUCUAUCAAAACCUCUAGUGACUCAAUAAAACAUGGUCAAAGGGUUAUUUGUGUUAAUGCAAAACAAAGUCCAGUAGACCAAGAGAUGCAGAGAGACGCAGGUUCAGCGGAACCAAGUUAUAUACUGAAACAUGAAGAAAGUGAUUUUCCUGAACCACCCCCACCUGUAACUGAUGUGAGUCCUUGGGAGUCUGAGCCAAAUACAAAACACGCUACAAGACAGUCUUUAAAAGAGACCAUGCCUAAGAAAGCAACUGUUUGUCCGUGGGAAGCGGAGGAUUCUGGGAGGUCAGAAGAGAAGGUGGGUGCUACAAACAAGGGGCCAGUUCAUGUAAAUGUGUGUCCAUGGGAAACAAGUGAGCCUGUGAAGACCACACAGAAACAAGAAAGUGUCUGUGGAGAUGUCUGUCCAUGGGAGACAAGUGAAUCAGUGGAGACCUUACAGAAGCAAGAAGGUGUUCGUGAAAAUGUUUGUCCUUGGGAAACAGAAGACAUAACAAAGAGCUUACAGAAACAAGAAAGUGUCCAUGCAG
ensembl:lncRNA